rnacentral:rRNA from 1 species
GGGGAUAACACUUGGAAACAGGUGCUAAUACCGUAUAACAAUCGAAACCGCAUGGUUUCGUUUUGAAAGGCGCUUUACGGUGCCGCUGAUGGAUGGACCCGCGGUGCAUUAGCUAGUUGGUGAGGUAACGGCUCACCAAGGCCACGAUGCAUAGCCGACCUGAGAGGGUGAUCGGCCACAUUGGGACUGAGACACGGCCCAAACUCCUACGGGAGGCAGCAGUAGGGAAUCUUCGGCAAUGGACGAAAGUCUGACCGAGCAACGCCGCGUGAGUGAAGAAGGUUUUCGGAUCGUAAAACUCUGUUGUUAGAGAAGAACAAGGGUGAGAGUAACUGUUCACCCCUUGACGGUAUCUAACCAGAAAGCCACGGCUAACUACGUGCCAGCAGCCGCGGUAAUACGUAGGUGGCAAGCGUUGUCCGGAUUUAUUGGGCGUAAAGCGAGCGCAGGCGGUUUCUUAAGUCUGAUGUGAAAGCCCCCGGCUCAACCGGGGAGGGUCAUUGGAAACUGGG